GACGGAGGGUGCAAGCGUUGUUCGGAAUUACUGGGCGUAAAGGGCGCGUAGGCGGUCUGUUAAGUUCGGUGUGAAAGCCCCCGGCUCACCUGGGGAACUGCGCCGGAAACCGACAGACUCGAGUACCGGAGAGGAGGAGACUGGAAGUUUACGGUGUAGCGGUAGAAAUGCGUAGAUAUCGUGAAGGAAGACCAGUGGCGAAGGCGGGUCCUCUGGACG
rnacentral:rRNA from 1 species